rnacentral:rRNA from 1 species
AGGUCCAGCGGCUGGAAGAGCACCGCGACGCCGCUAUGGUGUCCGGUGCAUUCCCCGGCGCCCUUGAAAACCGGAGGACCGAAAAGCCGCCACGCCCGGUCGUUUCAUAACCGCAUCAGGUCUCCAAGGUGAACAGCCUCGGUCGAUGGAACAAUGUAGGCAAGGGAAGUCGGCAAAAUGGAUCCAGAAUCUUCGAAAAGGAUUGGCUCGAGGGGUUGGGCUUCGGGGUCCCGCCCAACCCGCCGACUGUUGGCGGGUGCUUGAGCUGUUAACGGGCGAGAGCGAUCGCCAUGUCGGCCGGGGACGGACUGGGAACGGGUUUCUUUCGAGCUUUCCCGGCGCCGAACAGCCAACUCAAACUGGUACGGACAAGGGGAAUCCGAUCGUUUAAUUAAAACAAAGCAUUGCGAUGGUCCCUCGCGAUGCUAACGCAUGUGAUUUCUGCCCGUGCUCUGAAUGUCAAAGUGAAGAAAUUCAACCAAGCGCUGGUAAACGCGAGGAACUAUGACUCUUUUAGGUAGAAGCCAAAUGCCUCGGCCAUCUAAUUAGUGACGCCGAUGAAUGGAUUAACGAGAUUCCCACUGUCCCCCGCUUCUACUAUCCAGCAAAACCACAGCCAAGGGAACGGGCUUGGCAGAAUCAGCGGGAAAGAAGACCCUGUUGAGCUUGACUCUAGUCCCACUUUGUGAAAUGACUUGAGAGGUGUAGAAUAAGUGGGAGCUCCGCAAGUGAAAUACCACUACUUUUAACGUUAUUUUACUUACCUCCGCGAAUCGAGGCGGGUAACAACCCCUUCUUUUUAGACCCAAGACUCGCCAUGGUCGAUCCGGCGAGGACAUUGUCAGGUGGGAGUUUGGCUGGGGCGCACAUCUGUUAAAAGAUAACGAGGUGUCCUAAGAUGAGCUCAACGAGAACAGAAAUCUCGUGGGAACAAAAAAGGGUAAAGCUCGCUUGAUUCUGAUUUUCAGUACGAAAUAACCGCGGAAAGCGCGGGCCUAUCGAUCCUUUUUAGACCUUCGAAUUUGAAGCCAGAGGUGUCAGAAAAGUUACCACAGGGAUAACUGGCUUUGUGGCAGCCAAGCGCUCAUAGCGACGCUGUUUUUUUGAUCCUUCGAUGUCGGCUCUUCCUAUCAUUGUGAAGCAGAAUUCACCAAGCGUUGGAUUGUUCACCCACCAAUAGGGAACGGAGCUGGGUUUAGACCGCCGUGAGACAGGUUAGUUUUACCCUACUGAUGCCCGCCGCAAAUAGUAAUUCAACCUAGUACGAGAGAAACCGCUGAUUCGCACAAUUGGUCAUCGCGCUGAAAAGCCAGUGCCGGGCUACCGCGGCGCUGGAUUAUGACUGAACGCCUCUAAGUCAGAAUCCGGCUAGAAGCGACGAUGCGCCUGCCACCCGAUUGUCCGACUCCUCAGGGGAGCUUCGCCCCAAAGGCAUCGGUCGCUGGGCUAAGUCCGUUUCGGGGAAGCGCCGCUCGACCGCUUUGAAUUAUAAUUACCACCGAGUGGCGGGUAGAAUCCUUUGCGAUCGAAUUUAAAUACGCCGACGGGUAUUGUGGCGGGCAGAGUGGCCUUGCUGCCACGAUCCACUGAGAUUCAGCCCUUUGUCGCUAAGAUUCGACCCUCCCCUUCCA